AGAGUUUGAUCCUGGCUCAGAACAAACGCUGGCGGCGUGUCUUAAGCAUGCAAGUCGGGCGGCAAGGGCAGCGAUGCCCCUAGAGCGGCGGACUGGUGAGUAACGCGUGGGUGAUCUACCAUUAGGGCAUGGGGAUAGCCAUUAGAAAUAGUGGGUAAUACCGAAUACGCUUGCACAGGUGGAGCUGUGUAAGGAAAGGUGCUACGGCAUCGGCCUAAAGAUGAGCCUGCGUCCCAUUAGCUAGUUGGUGAGGUAAGAGCCCACCAAGGCGAUGAUGGGUAGCCGGCCUGAGAGGGUGUACGGCCACACUGGGACUGAGAUACGGCCCAGACUCCUACGGGAGGCAGCAGCUAAGAAUAUUCCGCAAUGGACGAAAGUCUGACGGAGCGACGCCGCGUGGAUGAAGAAGGCCGAAAGGUUGUAAAAUCCUUUUGCUGGGGAAGAAUAAGUCUGGGAGGGAAUGCCCGGAUGAUGACAUGAACCGGCGAAUAAGCCCCGGCCAACUACGUGCCAGCAGCCGCGGUAACACGUAGGGGGCGAGCGUUGUUCGGAAUUACUGGGCGUAAAGGGCAUGUAGGCGGUUUUGUAAGCUUGGCGUGAAAGUCCACGGCUCAACUGUGGGAUAGCGUUGAGAACUGCGAAGCUUGAGUUAUGGAGAGGGAGCUAGAAUUCCUGGUGUAGGGGUGGAAUCUGUAGAGAUCAGGAAGAAUACCAAUGGCGAAGGCAAAGCUCCUGGCCGAUGACUGACGCUGAGGUGCGAAAGUGUGGGGAU
rnacentral:rRNA from 1 species